GAUGAACGCUGGCGGCGUGCUUAAUACAUGCAAGUCGAGCGAACGGACGAGAAGCUUGCUUCUCUGAUGUUAGCGGCGGACGGGUGAGUAACACGUGGAUAACCUACCUAUAAGACUGGGAUAACUUCGGGAAACCGGAGCUAAUACCGGAUAAUAUUAUGAACCGCAUGGUUCAAAAGUGAAAGACGGUCUUGCUGUCACUUAUAGAUGGAUCCGCGCUGCAUUAGCUAGUUGGUAAGGUAACGGCUUACCAAGGCAACGAUGCAUAGCCGACCUGAGAGGGUGAUCGGCCACACUGGAACUGAGACACGGUCCAGACUCCUACGGGAGGCAGCAGUAGGGAAUCUUCCGCAAUGGGCGAAAGCCUGACGGAGCAACGCCGCGUGAGUGAUGAAGGUCUUCGGAUCGUAAAACUCUGUUAUUAGGGAAGAACAUAUGUGUAAGUAACUGUGCACAUCUUGACGGUACCUAAUCAGAAAGCCACGGCUAACUACGUG
rnacentral:rRNA from 1 species